CAGUAGCCGCGGUAAUACGUAGGGUGCAAGCGUUAAUCGGAGUUACUGGGCGUAAAGCGUGCGCAGGCGGUUAUAUAAAUCAGAUGUGAAAUCCCCGGGCUCAACCUGGGAACUGCAUUUGAGACUGUAUGGCUAGAGUGUGUCAGAGGGGGAUGGAAUUCCGCGUGUAGCAGUGAAAUGCGUAGAUAUGCGGAGGAACACCGAUGGCGAAGGCAAUCCCCUGGGCCUGCACUGACGCUCACGCACGAAAGCGUGGGGAGCAAACAGGAUUAGAUACCCCAGUAGUCCCUGUCUCUUAUAC
rnacentral:rRNA from 1 species